GACAGAGGGGGCAAGCGUUGCUCGGAAUUACUGGGCGUAAAGGGCGCGUAGGCGGAAUGGCAAGUCGGUCGUGAAAUCCUUCGGCUCAACGAAGAACGUCGAUCGAACUGCCGUUCUUGAGGAUUGCAGACGGAGACUGGAAUUCCCGGAUGUAGCGGUGAAAUGGUGUAGAGAGUCGGGAGGAACACCGGUGGCGAAGGGCGACGUGCUGGGUUGCACCUGACGC
rnacentral:rRNA from 1 species